GACGAACGCUGGCGGCGUGCCUAAUACAUGCAAGUCGAACGCUUCUUUCCUCCCGAGUGCUUGCACUCAAUUGGAAAGAGGAGUGGCGGACGGGUGAGUAACACGUGGGUAACCUACCCAUCAGAGGGGGAUAACACUUGGAAACAGGUGCUAAUACCGCAUAACAGUUUAUGCCGCAUGGCAUAAGAGUGAAAGGCGCUUUCGGGUGUCGUUGAUGGAUGGACCCGCGGUGCAAUAGCUAGUUGGUGAGGUAACGGCUCACCAAGGCCACGAUGCAUAGCCGACCUGAGAGGGUGAUCGGCCACACUGGGACUGAGACACGGCCCAGACUCCUACGGGAGGCAGCAGUAGGGAAUCUUCGGCAAUGGACGAAAGUCUGACCGAGCAACGCCGCGUGAGUGAAGAAGGUUUUCGGAUCGUAAAACUCUGUUGUUAGAGAAGAACAAGGACGUUAGUAACUGAACGUCCCCUGACGGUAUCUAACCAGAAAGCCACGGCUAACUACGUG
rnacentral:rRNA from 1 species